rnacentral:lncRNA from 1 species
GUUGAUUAUGGAUUUUGUAUCACCAUAUGAGAAAUGCAAGUGGGAUUUCAUGAGAGGCCCAAAUAAGUUUAGCCUAAAAGAAAAGAUUCAGAAUGAUUAAGUAAGCUCCUGAGUAAGUUAAUCUAGAAUCUUUUAAUUAUCGAAGCUUAUAAUAAAUAUCAACUUGUAUAAUGGAAUUGUCAAGGAAAACUAGAAUUGGCUUAGUUCAAAUUUGGAUCUAGAAUAUGAUUAGUUGAUUAUAUGAUGGUACAAAUACGACAACUAUCUCAAGGGUUAAUCAUGACCUAGUGUACUUG